rnacentral:rRNA from 1 species
GACGCUGGCGGCAGGCUUAACACAUGCAAGUCGAGCGGAGAUGAGGUGCUUGCACCUUAUCUUAGCGGCGGACGGGUGAGUAAUGCUUAGGAAUCUGCCUAUUAGUGGGGGACAACAUUUCGAAAGGAAUGCUAAUACCGCAUACGCCCUACGGGGGAAAGCAGGGGAUCUUCGGACCUUGCGCUAAUAGAUGAGCCUAAGUCGGAUUAGCUAGUUGGUGGGGUAAAGGCCUACCAAGGCGACGAUCUGUAGCGGGUCUGAGAGGAUGAUCCGCCACACUGGGACUGAGACACGGCCCAGACUCCUACGGGAGGCAGCAGUGGGGAAUAUUGGACAAUGGGGGGAACCCUGAUCCAGCCAUGCCGCGUGUGUGAAGAAGGCCUUUUGGUUGUAAAGCACUUUAAGCGAGGAGGAGGAGCUCUAGAUUAAUACUCUAGAUGCUUGGACGUUACUCGCAGAAUAAGCACCGGCUAACUCUGUGCCAGCAGCCGCGGUAAUACAGAGGGUGCAAGCGUUAAUCGGAUUUACUGGGCGUAAAGCGUGCGUAGGUGGUCUUUUAAGUCGGAUGUGAAAUCCCUGAGCUUAACUUAGGAAUUGCAUUCGAUACUGGGAGACUAGAGUAUGGGAGAGGAUGGUAGAAUUCCAGGUGUAGCGGUGAAAUGCGUAGAGAUCUGGAGGAAUACCGAUGGCGAAGGCAGCCAUCUGGCCUAAUACUGACACUGAGGUACGAAAGCAUGGGGAGCAAACAGGAUUAGAUACCCUGGUAGUCCAUGCCGUAAACGAUGUCUACUAGCCGUUGGGGUCUUUGAGACUUUAGUGGCGCAGCUAACGCGAUAAGUAGACC